CGCUACAAGAACAGAAAGAAAAUCCCAGAUUUUUCUAGCCGUCCUAAGGGACGACGACGCAAUAGUACCGAUAACCUCCGCCGCAUGAAGUAGAGCUCGGUCCGCCACCACCCUCAAAUGUGCUCCGCUGUCCUCGAAGAUCUAGACAUUCCUAUCUAGCCAAUAGUAGUAAGCUAGGUAGGCCACCCUGAUUUUCUGCUCCUCAAAGCCGGGCCUC
rnacentral:lncRNA from 1 species